AAGUACGUUUUGAUCUAAAGAAAGCGAGAUGAUUCUUUGAGGUGAACAAUAUCGUUCAAUGCUUGAUCUUGAUUCUGCUGCGUUUGAUUUUGUUGCUGCUUUUAUUCAUGAUUCAUGAACCUGCUGUUUGAAGGAAAAGAUUGAGGAAUUUGCGGAGUUUUGCACCUGGAGAAGAAAGAAUCUGAUUUUUUAUAAAAAAUUUCGAAAAAACUUUCUAUAUUGCGCCUAAGUACGUUUUGAUCUAAAGAAAGUGAGAUGAUUCUUUGAGGUGAACUAUAUCGUUCAAUGCUUGAUCUUGAUUCUGUUGCGUUUGAUUUUGUUGCUGCUUUUAUUCAUGAUUCAUGAACUUGCUGUUUGAAGGAAAAGAUUGAGGAAUUUGCGGAGUUUUGCACCUGGUGAAGAAGGAAUCUGAUUUUUUUUUUUUAAUUUCGAAAUAACUUUCUAUAUUGCGCCUAAGUUUACUUUCUAGUACUAUUUCACAGUUCCAGCUGAAUUUACUUGCAGGUAGC
rnacentral:lncRNA from 1 species